rnacentral:rRNA from 1 species
GAUGAACGCUGGCGGCGUGCCUAACACAUGCAAGUCGAGCGAACGGACGAGAAGCGUGUUUUCCUGAUGUUAGCGACGGACGGGUGAGUAACACGUGGAUAACCUACCUAUAAGACUUGGAUAACUUCGGGAAACCGGAGUUAAUACUGGAUGAUAUUUUGAACGGCAUGGUUCAAAAGUGAUAGACGGUCUUGCUGACACUUAUAGCUGGAUCCGCGCUGCAUUAGUUAGUUGGUAAGGUAACGGCUUACCAAGGCAACGAUGCAUAGCCGACCUGAGAGGGUGAUCGGCCACACUGGAACUGAGACACGGUCCAGACUCCUACGGGAGGCAGCAGUAGGGAAUCUUCGGCAAUGGGCGAAAGCCUGACGCAGCCACACCGCGUGAGUGAUGAAGGUCUUCGGGUCGUAAAACUCUGUUAUUGGGGAAGAACAUAUGUGUGAGUAUCUAUGCACAUUUUGACGGUACCUAAACAAAAAGCCCCGGCUAACUACGUG